rfam:Oryza glumipatula chromosome 12, whole genome shotgun sequence.
AAUGUUUGACGCCGUUAAUUUUUUAGCACAUGUUUGACCGUUCGUCUUAUUCAAAAAAUUUAAGUAAUUAUUAAUUCUUUUCAUAUCAUUUGAUUCAUUGUUAAAUAUAUUUUUAUGUACGCAUAUAAUUUUACAUAUUUCACAAAAAUUUUUGAAUAAAACGAACGGUCAAACAUGUGCUAAAAAGUUAAUGGUGUCAAACAUU